rnacentral:rRNA from 1 species
AUUGAACGCUGGCGGCAGGCCUAACACAUGCAAGUCGAGCGGAUGACGGGAGCUUGCUCCUUGAUUCAGCGGCGGACGGGUGAGUAAUGCCUAGGAAUCUGCCUGGUAGUGGGGGACAACGUUUCGAAAGGAACGCUAAUACCGCAUACGUCCUACGGGAGAAAGCAGGGGACCUUCGGGCCUUGCGCUAUCAGAUGAGCCUAGGUCGGAUUAGCUAGUUGGUGGGGUAAUGGCUCACCAAGGCGACGAUCCGUAACUGGUCUGAGAGGAUGAUCAGUCAACCUGGAACUGAGAAACGGUCCAGACUCCUACGGGAGGCAGCAGUGGGGAAUAUUGGACAAUGGGCGAAAGCCUGAUCCAGCCAUGCCGCGUGUGUGAAGAAGGUCUUCGGGUUGUAAAGCACUUUAAGUUGGGAGGAAGGGCAGUAAGUUAAUACCUUGCUGUUUUGACGUUACCGACAGAAUAAGCACCGGCUAACUCUGUGCCAGCCGCCGCCGUAAAAC